GGCUAAGUAGCUCAGUGGUUAGAGCGAACGUUUCAUAAGCGUUAGGUCGGGAGUUCGAUUCUCCCCUUAGCCA
rnacentral:tRNA from 1 species